rnacentral:lncRNA from 1 species
GUAAAUGCCUAUUUAAGUCCUUUGUCCAUUUUUAAAUUAGGUUGUUUAUCUCUUUGUUGUUGAGUUGCAAGUGUUCUUUAUAUAUUCUGGAUACUAGACUCUUAUCAGAUAUACAUUAUUAGUUUUUAAAUAUGGUUGCAGAAGUAAAAUCUCUUGCUAUUUUUCGGUCAGGGUAUUCUCAAACAGAAAAAACCAAGAUUUUGCUUGGUGCCCAUUAACCACAGGUUAUUUUAAAUGAGCAUCUAAGAAUGUACUAUGCUUCCUCCUAAUGAUUCAGGAGUUGCAGCUGUGCAAGUAUUAUUUGUCUUCUUCUCUCCUCUUAAAUUCAUCUUGGGGUUUCCCAGGGACAAUCAAAGACAUCCAUAACUUAAGCUUGUUUUCCCAAAAAAAUAGCUUCUGAAGGCUUGCUGUGAAGUCACAUGCUCAGCUCACUGGUUCCAGUGGUCAGGCAUAAUUUCUCUCUCCAAAGUCCUCUCACCCUGAUUGCUUUGACACAGCUGCAACACCACCGCCACCAGGUACUCAAAAGUGUCAAAAGUUCCGCUUGCCUAGCACAUGCAGGUUUUCUCCUCUCCAGACUUUCACGUGGGGAAAAGCAAGAUUCCACUUACUUCCAAGUCUUUGAAUAAUAUCAGCAUUUCGGAAGAUGACCCACAUGAAUCCCUUGGUGUCAUAUGCUCCUCGGUCACUGGCACCCUAAUUUGUAAAUGCCCGGUGGCACAGCGGUUAGGUUCCCACACUCUGCCUCAGUGGCCUGGGGUUCGCUGGUUUGGAUCCCAGGUGCAGACCUACACACCACUUGUCAAGCCAUGCUGUGGCAGGCAUCCCACAUAUAAAAAGUAGAGGAAGAUGGGCAUGGAUGUUAGCUCGGAGUCCAUCUUUCUCAGCAAAAAAAGAGGAGGAUUGGCAGCAGAGGUUAGCUCAGGGCUAAUCUUGCUCAAAAAAACAAAAACAAAAAAGCAAAAAAGCCCCAAUCUUUGUUUAUACUUAUUCAUUGAACUUAUAGAUAAAGUGAGUUCUUGGAGAGACUCAGAAAUCUUCUAUUUUUCUCUGUCUGGCCUCUCUGUUAAUUUAUUCAUCUUGUUAUUUUAAUGCUUGUCAAAUUUUUCAUCAAAAU